GAGUGUGAGGUAGGCGGAAUGCGUUGUGUAGCGGUGAAAUGCAUAGAUAUGACGCAGAACUCCGAUUGCGAAGGCAGCUUACCAACACUUUACGGACGCUGAGGCACGAAAGCGUGGGUAUCGAACAGGAUUAGAUACCNNNGUAGUCCACGCAGUAAACGAUGAAUACUAAUUGUUCGGGGGGCAACCCCUGAGUGAUACAGCGAAAGCGUUAAGUAUUCCACCUGGGGAGUACGCCGGCAACGGUGAAACUCAAAGGAAUUGACGGGGGCCCGCACAAGCGGAGGAACAUGUGGUUUAAUUCGAUGAUACGCGAGGAACCUUACCCGGGCUCAAACGUUGGGGGAAUGCUCCUGAAAGGGAGCAGCCAGCAAUGGUCGCCAACGAGGUGCUGCAUGGUUGUCGUCAGCUCGUGCCGUGAGGUGUCGGCUUAAGUGCCAUAACGAGCGCAACCCCUGCGUCCAGUUACCAUCAAGUCAUGUUGGGGACUCUGGACGGACUGCCGGCGCAAGCCGUGAGGAAGGCGGGGAUGACGUCAAAUCAGCACGGCCCUUACGUCCGGGGCGACACACGUGUUACAAUGGCGUGGAACAGCGGGAAGCCACCUGGCGACAGGGAGCGGACCCCUAAAACACGUCUCAGUUCGGAUUGGAGUCUGCAACUCGACUCCAUGAAGCUGGAUUCGCUAGUAAUCGCGCAUCAGCCAUGGCGCGGUGAAUACGUUCCCGGGCCUUGUACACACCGCCCGUCAAGCCAUGGGAGCCGGGAGUGCCUGAAGUACGUAACCGGAAGGAGCGUCCAAGGGUAACACUGGUGACUGGGGCUAAGUCGUAACAAGGUAACC
rnacentral:rRNA from 1 species